UACGUAGGGUGCAAGCGUUGUCCGGAAUUAUUGGGCGUAAAGAGCUCGUAGGCGGUCUGUCGCGUCUGCUGUGAAAACUCGGGGCUUAACCCGGCCUGCAGUGGGUACGGGCAGACUAGAGUGCGGUAGGGGAGACUGGAAUUCCUGGUGUAGCGGUGAAAUGCGCAGAUAUCAGGAGGAACACCGGUGGCGAAGGCGGGUCUCUGGGCCGAUACUGACGCUGAGGAGCGAAAGCGUGGGGAGCGAACAGG
rnacentral:rRNA from 1 species